rnacentral:rRNA from 1 species
AUUGAACGCUGGCGGCAGGCCUAACACAUGCAAGUCGAGCGGAUGAAGGGAGCUUGCUCCUGGAUUCAGCGGCGGACGGGUGUGUAAUGCCUAGGAAUCUGCCUGGUAGUGGGGGAUAACGUCCGGAAACGGGCGCUAAUACCGCAUACGUCCUGAGGGAGAAAGUGGGGGAUCUUCGGACCUCACGCUAUCAGAUGAGCCUAGGUCGGAUUAGCUAGUUGGUGGGGUAAAGGCCUACCAAGGCGACGAUCCGUAACUGGUCUGAGAGGAUGAUCAGUCACACUGGAACUGAGACACGGUCCAGACUCCUACGGGAGGCAGCAGUGGGGAAUAUUGGACAAUGGGCGAAAGCCUGAUCCAGCCAUGCCGCGUGUGUGAAGAAGGUCUUCGGAUUGUAAAGCACUUUAAGUUGGGAGGAAGGGCAGUAAGUUAAUACCUUGCUGUUUUGACGCUACCAACAGAAUAAGCACCGGCUAACUUCGUG